CUGGUCAAAGACAGAAGAAGUGCUCUCUAGGUGCAAAUUUAUCUUAUUUUCAAACUGUUAAUCUAGUGACAACAUGGCAAAUAAGCUUAUGUGUAUAGCUUUGGCACUGAUGCUGCUCACUGUCAUAACAAGUGCUGCGAAAGAGGGUAAGUCGAGAAAGGGAUCAGCUGGAAGUAAAUCAAUAAUCAGCUCACCAAGUGAAUUAUCUGAGCCGGACGAAUCGGUCGGAGAAUCGGGUGAUAAUACUCGUUUAGAUUUUGGAAAGAAAUAGCUCUUGUAAGUGUUAAAAACUCAGUCACUGACCUUUACAAGUUAUGUGUAAUUCAUGCUGUGUACUUGAUGAGUGAUUAAGAACGAAAUGACUUUCAACUAUCAAUAAUGAGUAAUUGGUGGUGGUGAUAAUAUAAUACCUUUAAACUGUAAUAAAAUAUUCUUGUUCUCUGCAUUAA